rnacentral:rRNA from 1 species
GACGUAGGGCGCGAGCGUUGUCCGGAUUUAUUGGGCGUAAAGAGCUCGUAGGCGGUUUGUCACGUCGGGUGUGAAAGCCCGGGGCUUAACCCCGGGUCUGCAUUCGAUACGGGCAGACUGGAGUGUGGUAGGGGAGAUCGGAAUUCCUGGUGUAGCGGUGAAAUGCGCAGAUAUCAGGAGGAACACCGGUGGCGAAGGCGGAUCUCUGGGCCAUUACUGACGCUGAGGAGCGAAAGCGUGGGGAGCAAACAGG